GACGAACGCUGGCGGCGUGCUUAACACAUGCAAGUCGAACGGAAAGGCCCUGCUUUUGUGGGGUGCUCGAGUGGCGAACGGGUGAGUAACACGUGAGUAACCUGCCCUUGACUUUGGGAUAACUUCAGGAAACUGGGGCUAAUACCGGAUAGGAGCUCCUGCUGCAUGGUGGGGGUUGGAAAGUUUCGGCGGUUGGGGAUGGACUCGCGGCUUAUCAGCUUGUUGGUGGGGUAGUGGCUUACCAAGGCUUUGACGGGUAGCCGGCCUGAGAGGGUGACCGGCGACAUUGGGACUGAGGUACGGCCCAGACGGCUACGGGAGGCAGCAGUGGGGAAUAUUGCACAAUGGGCGGAAGCCUGAUGCAGCGACGCCGCGUGCGGGAUGACGGCCUUCGGGUUGUAAACCGCUUUCGCCUGUGACGAAGCGUGAGUGACGGUAAUGGGUAAAGAAGCACCGGCUAACUACGUG
rnacentral:rRNA from 1 species